rnacentral:rRNA from 1 species
GUCGAGAAUCUUGGGCAAUGCGCGAAAGCGUGACCCAGCAAUGCCGCGUGUAUGAUGAAGGCCCUCGGGUCGUAAAGUACUGUCUCCCGUGACGAAAUUUGACGGUAGCGGGGAAGGAAGCCACGGCUAACUACGUGCCAGCAGCCGCGGUAAUACGUAGGUGGCGAGCGUUGUUCGGAUUUAUUGGGCGUAAAGGGUCUGUAGGAGGUUUGUUAAAUACGGGGUGAAAUCCCGAAGCUCAACUUCGGAAUUGCCUUGUAGACUGACGAACUGGAGUACCGGAGAGGUAAGCGGAAUACCAGGUGUAGCGGUGGAAUGCGUAGAUAUCUGGUAGAACACCAAAAGCGAAGGCAGCUUGCUGGACGGAAACUGACUCUGAAAGACGAAAGCAUGGGGAGCAAACAGGAUUAGAAACCCUGGUAGUCC